CACGUAGGGUGCGAGCGUUGUCCGGAAUUAUUGGGCGUAAAGAGCUCGUAGGCGGUGUGUCACGUCGGCCGUGAAAACCUGCAGCUUAACUGUGGGCUUGCGGUCGAUACGGGCAUCACUGGAGUUCGGCAGGGGAGACUGGAAUUCCUGGUGUAGCGAUGAAAUGCGCAGAUAUCAGGAGGAACACCGGUGGCGAAGGCGGGUCUCUGGGCCGAUACUGACGCUGAGGAGCGAAAGCGUGGGGAGCGAACAGG
rnacentral:rRNA from 1 species